CUCUAAUUAUUUAUAGCCUCUGGCUAUAGGAAAUUGUUAGUGGCAGACGGGUGAGUAAUGCGUAGGAAUCUACCUAGUAGUACGGAAUAGCCAUUAGAAAUGGUGGGUAAUACUGUAUAAUCCCCGAGGGGGAAAGAUUUAUCGCUAUUAGAUGAGCCUACGUUAGAUUAGCUAGUUGGUGAGGUAAUGGCUUACCAAGGCUAUGAUCUAUAGCUGGUCUGAGAGGACGAUCAGCCACACUGGAACUGAGAUACGGUCCAGACUCCUACGGGAGGCAGCAGUGGGGAAUAUUGGACAAUGGGCGAAAGCCUGAUCCAGCUAUGCCGCGUGAGUGAAGAAGGCCUUCGGGUUGUAAAACUCUUUCAAUAGGGAAGA
rnacentral:rRNA from 1 species